rnacentral:rRNA from 1 species
GGUUACCUUGUUACGACUUCACCCCAGUCAUGAAACACAAAGUGGUAAUCGUCCUCCCGAAGGUUAGACUAACUACUUCUUUUGCAUCCCACUCCCAUGGUGUGACGGGCGGUGUGUUCAAUGCCCGGGAACGUAUUCACCGCAGUAUUCUGACCUGCGAUUACUAACGAUUCCGACUUCAUGGAGUCCAAAUUGCAGACUCCAAUCC